ACAGCACUAUAACAGUGGGAUUCAGUAUCUUCCUCCUUUUAAUAUUAUUCCAUGAAGUAAGCUCAUUUGCCCCCGCAAGCAGACUUUUCAAGCAUCCAGUCUCCUGGCUCCCCUAACUAUGGGACAAAAUUGGAUAAAUUUGAUACCAUCCGGACGAUUUGGUGUUGGGCCAGGAAUAGGGUUUUUUAGGCCUGGAUUCGGAGGAGGUGCUGCCUUUGGUCUGGGAACAUCUGUUAUUGGUCUCAAUCAAAUCAACCCUUUCUUCAUGGGGUCAAAGGCAAGUAACUCUCAGCGGAUCCAUUGUAAUCAGAACAACAACGGUUUCUGGAAACGUUAUACUUGUCGCCACUGAGAGAUCCCGUAUUGGGGCAGGAUGUACAUCGGAUAGACUAGGACCUGUGCUUCAAAGAUUCCGUCUUUUUUCCAACUUUUUUGGCGGCUCAAAUACCCUGCCAGGAGUCGUUGCUGAUGUAACGCUGGCUGCCAACAGAGAAGUUACCUUUGACGUGGCCUCACACAAUCUGCCUUUCGAUGACCUUGAAAGUUAUGCAGGACGUGGAAUAGGUCUUUGUACCGAUCUGACAACAGGCACUGAUGGUCGCCAAGUGUGUGUGGAUCCAGUCUCCGCAUGCUGCAAAUUGGGAUUCGACAACAAGGAGGCCGUUCUACUUCCCAUACCCUGAGAAGAGAAAUACAGCAUUUCUCUCAGUCUCGUUUCCAUUUAACUAUCUAUAUAUUAUGUACAUAUUCAUGGUCUACAAAAAAUGAAUUUUGAAGAAAUGGUAUUUGAUACAGAAAAUUUAAAGUUUUCUUAUUUUAGUAUGUGAUGCACAGACACAUACGUUCAAAUUGAUUGCUUAUCAUGAUACAAGUGAUGAGUUAUUCAACCCAUAGGACAUACACCUUUGCAAAAUGGUAACUAUCUAAAACUUAACAAUAGCUAAAAUAUCAUGUGUACUGGCAAGACUGUAUUUCUAUCAAGAAAUAAAUAAAGGAAUGAC